AUAAGUUUUUGAAAGGUGAAAAUUUGUUGGAACCCAUGAUCCAUUGAGGUAAUGUUUGCUUUUUUUUUUUUGCAUAACUUUUAUAAUAUUUAAUUGUUUUCUCUUAUUUUUAUAUUUAUUGCAUGGUAUUUAUUUUUGCAUGACUAAUAUUAUAUUUGUAUGAUAAUUUAUUUGCCCAAUAUAUUUGUUUUCAUGGUUAAUAUAUUUAUUUGUAUGAUUAUAUAUUUAUUUGCAUAUUUGAUUAUUAAUAUAUUUAUUUGCAUGAUUAUAUGUUUAUUUGUAUGUUUAUUUGUAUGAUUAUAUAUUUAAUUGCAUAUUUAUUUUCACGAUUUAUAUAUUAUUAUUUGUAUGAUUAUAUAUUUAAUUGCAUGUUUAUUUGCAUGGUUAUAGUCAACAGGAUAAAAAACCUGUAAGGCACCAGGAGCUGAUUGAUGGGAUGCUUCGCAGGCACACCGCUAACUAAUCUUAAUCUUCUGAAAUGGUGAACUAUGCCUAAGCUGGGUGAAGCCAAAGGAAACUUUGGUGGAGGCCUAAAGUGAUAUUGACAUGCAAAUCGUUUGUCUGACUUAGGUAUAAGGGUAAAAGACUAAUCGAACUGUCUAAAAGCUAGUUCCCUCUGAAGUUUCCUUCUAGAUAGCCAGAGCCCUUAGUGAGUUCUAUCAAGUAAAGCCAAUGAUUUGAGGCACCGAGGGCACAACACCCUCGACCUAUUCUCAAACUUUAAAUAGGUAAGAUGUUGUGGCUGCUUCAUUGAACCACACCAUAAAAUUGAGAGCUCUAAGUGGGCCAUUUUUGGUAAGUAGAACUAGUGAUGUGGGAUGAACCGAAAGCUAGGUUAUGGUUCUUAACUACAUGCUAACCUAGAACCCACAAAGGGUAUGGUCGAUUAAGACAGCAGAAAGGUGGUCAUGGAAGUUAAAAUCUGCUAAGGAGUGUGUAACAACUCUCUUACGAAAUCAACUAGACUCAAAAAUGGAUUGUGCUUAAACGUGCAACCUAUACCCAACCGUUAGGGUAAGGGCGAGGCCUUGAUGAGUAGGAGGGCACGAUAGUUGCAACAAAACCCAAAAGUGCUACCCCAAAUGAGUGUGGCUAUUGGUGUAGAUCUUGGUGGUAGCAAUAAAUAUUCAAAUGAGAACUUUGAAGGUUGAAGAAGGGAAAGGUUCUAUGUGAAUAGCACUUGCACAUAGGUUAGUCGAUCUUAAAAGAAAGAGGAAGCCUAUCCAAUAGUGUGUCCCAUGUAAACUUCAAAAAGGAAUCUGGUUAAAAUUCUUAAACUGGGAUGCAAUGGCUAACGACAACAUUCGGGAGUCCAAAAAUGUCGAUGGGGGCCUCGAGAAGAGUUAUCUUUUCUAUUUAAUGGCUUGCCCACCUUGAAAAUAGCUUAGCCAGAGUUAGGAUCUAGUGCCAAAAGAGUACUACACGUCAAGUGGUGUCUAGUAUGCCCCCAAUGGCCUUUGAAAAUUUGGAGGACUGAAUGCUAUUCAUGCAAGGUCAUACUUAUAAUCGAAUAAAGUCUUCAAGGUGAAUAGCCUCUAGUCGAUGGAACAAUGUAGGCAAAGAAAGUUGGAAAAAUGGAUCCAUAGCCUCAAGAAAAGGAUUGGCUCUGAGGGCUAGGCAUGGGGGACUUAGUCCCAAACCCAUCAACUACUAGUGCACUACUUAAGCUACUCUCGCAGUGAGAACAGGUCUUCACUUGUCGGCCAGGGGAUGAACUGGGAAUGGCUCCCUUAAGGGCUUUCCCUAGACAAUAAAUAUCCACUUAAAACUAGUACAAACAAGAGGAAUCCAACUAUUUAAUGAAAACAAAGCAUUGCAACAAUCCCUAUAGAUGUUCAUGCAAUGUGAUUUCUACCCGAUGCUCUGAAUGUCAAAGUAAAGAAAUUUAACCAAGCGUAGGUAAAUAGCGGGAGUAACUAUGACUCUCUUAAAGUAGCCAAAUGCCUCGGCAUCUAAUUAAUGAUGUGUAUGAAAUGAUUAAUGAGAUUUCCACUGUCCCUAUCUACUAUCUAGAGAAACCACAGCCAAGGGAACAAGCUUGGUGGAAUCAAUGGGGAAAAAGAGCAUGUUCAGCUUGACUCUAGUCCGACUUUGUGAAAUGACUUGAAAGGUGUGGGAUAAGUGGAAGCCCUCGUGCGAAAUUGAAAUACCACUACUUUUAAAGUUAUUUGACUUAUUCUAUGAAUCGGAGGGGAGGCACAACACAUUCUUUUGGCCCAAGACUAGCCUCAGUCAGUUGAUCCAGGUGAAAGACAUUGUCAGGUGGGGAGUUUGGUUGGGAUGGCACAUCUAUUAAAAGAUAACGUAAGUGUCCUAAGAUGAGCUCAAGGAGAACAUAAAUCUCAUGUGGAACAAAAGGGUAAAAGCUAGUUUGAUUCUAAUUUCUAGUAUGAAUACGAAUUGUGAAAGCGUGACCUAUCGAUCCUUUAGACCUUCAGAAUUUGAAGCUAAAGGUAUAAGAAAAGUUACCACAUGGAUAACUAGCUUGUGGUAGCCAAGCAUUCAUAGUGACAUUGCUUUUUUAUUAUCAAAAAAGUUACCACAUGGAUAACUAGCUUAUGGCAACCAAGCAUUCAUAGUGACGUUACUUUUUUAUCCUUCAAUGUUGGCUCUUCCUAUCAUUAUGAAAUAGAAUUCACCUAGUGUUGGACUAUUCACCCACCAAUACGGAAAGUGAGCUAGGUUUAGACUAUCAUGAGAUAGGUUAGUUUUACCCUAUUAAUGGUAGCAUCGUAAUAUUAAUUCAGUCUAGUACAAGAUGAACCAUUGAUUCAGACAAUUAGUCAUCGCAUUCGGUUGACAAGCCAGUGACGCGAAGCUAUCAUGUGAUAGAUUAUGACUAAAUGCCUCUAAGUCAAAAUCUAGGCUAGAAGCAAUGCAUGCACCCAUUGCCUGAUUGAUUACCCAUAGUAAGGGCCCAUGGCCCCAAAGACGUGUCGUAGGUGCAAUCCCAGCAAUGAACGAGCUAUGUGA
rnacentral:rRNA from 1 species